rnacentral:rRNA from 1 species
AGUGAACGCUGGCGGUAGGCCUAACACAUGCAAGUCGAACGGCAGCACAGUAAGAGCUUGCUCUUACGGGUGGCGAGUGGCGGACGGGUGAGGAAUACAUCGGAAUCUACUUUUUCGUGGGGGAUAACGUAGGGAAACUUACGCUAAUACCGCAUACGACCUACGGGUGAAAGCAGGGGAUCUUCGGACCUUGCGCGAUUGAAUGCGCCGAUGGCGGAUUAGCUAGUUGGCGGGGUAAAGGCCCACCAAGGCGACGAUCCGUAGCUGGUCUGAGAGGAUGAUCAGCCACACUGGAACGGAGACACGGUCCAGACGCCUACGGGAGGCAGCAGGGGGGAAUAUUGGGCAAGGGGCGCAAGACUGAUCCAGCCAUACCGCGUGGGGGAAGAAGGCCUUCGGGUGGGAAAGCCCUUUUGUUGGGAAAGAAAAGCAGCAGGUUAAUACCCCGCUGUUCUGACGGGACCCAAAUAAUAAGCACCGGCUAACUUCGUG